rnacentral:rRNA from 1 species
GACGUAGGAGGCGAGCGUUAUCCGGAUUCACUGGGCGUAAAGCGCAUGUAGGCGGUUGCACAAGUCCGUUGUUAAAGCCCCUGGCUCAACUGGGGGAGGUCAAUGGAGACUGUGCGACUUGAGGGCAAUAGAGGCACGUGGAACUCCCGGUGUAGCGGUGGAAUGCGUAGAGAUCGGGAAGAACACCAGUGGCGAAGGCGACGUGCUGGGUUGCACCUGACGCUGAGAUGCGAAAGCGUGGGGAGCGAUCCGG